CCUACGGGUGGCAGCAGUGAGGAAUAUUGGUCAAUGGGGGAAACCCUGAUGCAGCGACGCCGCGUGGGUGAAGAAGCGCCUCGGCGCGUAAAGCCCUGUCAGCAGGGAAGAAAAUGACGGUACCUGAAGAAGAAGCCCCGGCUAACUACGUGCCAGCAGCCGCGGUAAUACGUAGGGGGCAAGCGUUAUCCGGAUUUACUGGGUGUAAAGGGGGCGCAGACGGCGAUGCAAGCCAGGUGUGAAAGCCCGGGGCCCAACCCCGGGACUGCUCUUGGAACUGCGUGGCUAGAGUGCAGGAGGGGCAGGCGGAAUUCCUGGUGUAGCGGUGAAAUGCGUAGAUAUCAGGAGGAACACCGGUGGCGAAGGCGGCCUGCUGGACUACAACUGACGUUGAGGCCCGAAAGCGUGGGGAGCAAACAGGAUUAGAUACCCGAGUAGUC
rnacentral:rRNA from 1 species